rnacentral:tmRNA from 1 species
GGGGGCGAAACAGGAUCGACACGCGUGGUAAAGGCAUGGUUUUCGCUCGGCAUGGUUCCGCCGUUACCGGGCCAUUUCAUAGGUGCCAACGACAACACGGCGCCUGCCCUUCGCAUGGCUGCCUGAUAGCCCCCUUAAGGGCUGUUAGCAGUUAGCUGAGGACGGGGUUCGGGGGGCACCCGGCAACAGAAGCCCCCCACU